CGGGAAGAUUGGCAAGGGGUAAGCUGUGUUUUUUUCCUCCGUGUCACAAACUAUUUAAUGAUGUUUCUGUACUUUAAUUUCUCUGUUAUUUUAUUGAUCUUUGAUGGGAAGAUAUUCUGUUACGUUUGUGUUGAUAUUUUCGUUGUAAUUUUCGCUCAAAGUAUGUACAUUAGCGCCAUUAAUGUCCGCGAUCGUUAUGAAGUUAGCAGGUGCUAACGAGCCUAUUGUGUCGCAGGAAUGCCGUUCGCUUCGACCCCUUGCAGUGUGCCUCAUUGUGUCCGCCCUGUCUGUUGUUUCAGAUAUAAGAAGUUGGGGUUGGGGUUGAUGAUCCACAUGAUGGUGAUGGACCAGGACAGCUCUGGACCUCCUGACUGGCAGCUCCAUCCUCAACCUCCCUUCCUGUCCUUCACACAUGUGCAGGCAGAGAGGCAGUUUUCUGAAGGAUGGUUAAUGUCAGUACCAACAUGUUGUGAUGGAGGCUUCCACCUGAGCUGAACACAGAAACUUACACACAGUGAUGGAAGCAGUCGUUCCUGUUAAGCAUUGAUAUACCGGUAAUGGGUUUGAUGAGCCACAGCAUAGUGAUGGGCAAUCAGCAUCAGGACCAGGGCCGCUCACAAGGAGAACCUCCUGCCCUGCCUCUUCAUCCUCAACCUCCAAUCUUCCUGCUCUUCACACAUGUGCAGGCACAGAGCCAGUUUUCAGAGGGAGGGCUGAUGACACCAGCAACUUCGGAUCUGAACCUGAUCAACCCAGCACCAACCACUGUGCCGCUCCUCCUCUGUCAACUGCACCACAUGGCUCCACCAUCUCAAAAAGGCACAGACACUACUCCACUUCCUGCGAAGGAUGAGAGAAGAGCCGACCUCCCCACAACGGCACUCACCACCUUCUACAGGGGUGUCAUUGAGAGCAUCCUGACCAGCAGCCUCUCUGUCUGGCAUGGCAGCCGUCAAGCUGAAGACUAGAAGGCAGUACAGAGAGUGGUGAGGACAGCAGAAAAGCUCAUAAGAUCACCCCUACCUGUUCUCCCUACUACCAUCAGGGAAGCGCUAGCCCAGCAUGCGGUGCUGCAAAAGCACACUGGGAAACGGCUUCUUUCCACAAGCCAUCAGACUCCUCAACGCACUGAAGAAAACCACAUGAAUAACCAAGGACACGGGAGAAUAUUCCAUGAACACUUCUUUCACCAUGCCACUUACACUUUACUCAUUGCACCUUGUAUACAGCAUCUUCACAUCACCUGUAUGAACUCCUCCUGCCGUGUGUGUGUGUCCACUGUGUUUGUGUAUUUAUUGUCCAUCAGUAUGUUAAUCUUAUUAUUGCACACUGUUUGGGUGUCUGUGUGAGUGUAUUUAUAGUAUGUAUCAGUCUGUAUUUAAUGCCAAUGCCUUAUUUUUUAGUUAUUAGUUAAAUGCACAUUGGAGACUGGUCAAACACAAUUUCAAACUUUGUGUUAACCCUCCAUAGCUUUUUUGUCAAAAAAUGGAGUCUAAUCUACUGUACUACACAGGCUAUCAACAGACCACACAGUUGACUGCUGUUUUAUGCACUCUGAAUAUGAGAGGGAGAGGUGACCGUUCACACUUCAUAGUGUAAAAGUAAACAGAAAUAAAUUCACAUUUCAUUCCUGUCUCGUUCACUUCUUUCAGCAAUGUAUGUGGCCUACAUGCAGGGAAGCUGACAGGGGGGACAAAGGGGUCCGUUGACCUGGGCCCAGUGAGACGAGGGGUCCAGGAAUGGGUCCUCAUUACAUUGUAUGUAGUCUAUGUAUUGAGUGGGGGGCCCUUUCAGAUGACUUUGUCCUGGGCAAAGCCAAAGCUGUCAGCGGCCCUGAUUAUGUAUGCACAAACACUGGU